rnacentral:rRNA from 1 species
AACGAACGCUGGCGGCAGGCCUAACACAUGCAAGUCGAGCGAGGACUUCGGUCCUAGCGGCGGACGGGUGAGUAACGCGUGGGAACGUGCCCCUUGGUACGGAAUAGCCCCGGGAAACUGGGAGUAAUACCGUAUGAGCUCUACGGAGGAAAGAUUUAUCGCCAAGGGAUCGGCCCGCGUUGGAUUAGGUAGUUGGUGGGGUAAUGGCCUACCAAGCCAACGAUCCAUAGCUGGUUUGAGAGGAUGAUCAGCCACACUGGGACUGAGACACGGCCCAGACUCCUACGGGAGGCAGCAGUGGGGAAUCUUAGACAAUGGGCGCAAGCCUGAUCUAGCCAUGCCGCGUGAGCGAUGAAGGCCUUAGGGUUGUAAAGCUCUUUCAGUGGGGAAGAUAAUGACUGUACCCACAGAAGAAGCCCCGGCUAACUCCGUGCCAGCCGCCGCAGUAAUAC